rnacentral:rRNA from 1 species
GACGAACGCUGGCGGCGUGCUUAACACAUGCAAGUCGAACGGAAAGGCCCUGCUUUUGUGGGGUGCUCGAGUGGCGAACGGGUGAUUAACACGUGAGUAACCUGCCCUUGACUUUGGGAUAACUUCAGGAAACUGGGGCUAAUACCGGAUAGGAGCUCCUGCUGCAUGGUGGGGGUUGGAAAGUUUCGGCGGUUGGGGAUGGACUCGCGGCUUAUCAGCUUGUUGGUGGGGUAGUGGCUUACCAAGGCUUUGACGGGUAGCCGGCCUGAGAGGGUGACCGGCAACAUUGGGACUGAGAUACGGCCCAGACUCCUACGGGAGGCAGAAGUGGGGAAUAUUGCACAAUGGGCGGAAGCCUGAUGCAGCAACGCAGCGUGCGGGAUGACGGCCUUCGGGGUGUAAACCGCUUUCGCCCGUGACGAAGAGUGAGUGACGGUAAUGGGUAAAGAAGCACCGGCUAACUACGUG